rnacentral:lncRNA from 1 species
GGGGCUGUUGUCUCCACCACUCAUAAGUGGAUCACUGGUGAGGCCUCUUCCCUUCACCAGACUAGGAUUAUUUCAGGAGACGUAGAUCGUGAGGAGCCCUCUAGGCUUAAGGCCUGUGACCUCGCCACUCUCCCUAAAGUUGUUCACCACAUAGUCACCUAUGAGGUUCUCCCUAGAGCAGGUCAUAGGACUGCUUUAUCCUAUUCUGACAUGUUUGUAGUAUCCUGUCUGCUAGAGGGUCGAGCCCUUAACCUGCCCCAUAUCAUGAUUCACACUAUAGCUGACUCUCUUAGGCUGAGUAGGGGAUGUCUCCCCUUUGGUCGUCAUCUUACUCUUCUUCUCCGAGCCCUAGGGGUUGACCCAGGUACCGAGUCGGCCUUACCUUUGUCUAGUGAGUACACCCCCUACACUGAGGCUACCCUCCACCACAUGGGUUUGACUAGGAG